ACUGGUUUAGUAUAAUAUAGUACGUAGGAUUGUAAAUCUUAGGGUGGAUUAAAUUUGUU
rnacentral:tRNA from 1 species